GACGAACGCUGGCGGCGUGCUUAACACAUGCAAGUCGAACGGAAAGGCCCUGCUUGCAGGGUGCUCGAGUGGCGAACGGGUGAGUAACACGUGGGUGAUCUGCCCCUUACUUUGGGAUAAGCCUGGGAAACUGGGUCUAAUACUGGAUAGGACCAUGCUGUAGGUGGUGUGGUGGAAAGAUUAGUUUCGGUAAGGGAUGAGCUCGCGGCCUAUCAGCUUGUUGGUGGGGUAAUGGCCUACCAAGGCGUCGACGGGUAGCCGGCCUGAGAGGGUGGACGGCCACAUUGGGACUUGGAUACGGCCCAGACUCCUACGGGAGGCAGCAGUGGGGAAUAUUGCACAAUGGGCGCAAGCCUGAUGCAGCGACGCCGCGUGGGGGAUGACGGCCUUCGGGUUGUAAACUCCUUUCAGCCAUGACGAAGCCCUUGUGGUGACGGUAGUGGUAGAAGAAGCACCGGCUAACUACGUG
rnacentral:rRNA from 1 species